GUGACCAUGAGGGAGGCCUGAGAGCACACCAGUGAAAGUGCUGAGAUAUGACAGAGCAUUUGGAACAGGUGGCGAAGCAGACAGGAGAUCAGAUGAAGACGCACAGAGAAACAACCUUAGAGCGCCCUGAAGCUACAGUGAAGAACCACAAACACCGACCGCUAGAGGAAAGAAGUGGGAGAGUGUGAAACCUCUCCCUCCUGCGUUAUGCCCGAGGAAGGUCACACACGGAAAGGAAACUGGUUGCCAGCAGAACCCUGUGGACAUUUGAAAGUCAAGACUCUCCUUCUGUUUGGACUGUUUUAGUUUGAUAUUAUAUAUUUUUAUUUUUUAUUUUAUUCUUUUUAAAAUAAAUGUGUUACUCCUCA